rnacentral:pre_miRNA from 1 species
UUUUUAGUGUAAAUAUGUCCCAUGUGAUAGUUGGGACAUACUUGCACUAAAA